UCUGGCGGCAGUAGCGCGGUGGUCCCACCUGACCCCAUGCCGAACUCAGUAGUGAAACGCCGUAGCGCCGAUGGUAGUGUGGGGUCUCCCCAUGCGAGAGUAGGGAACUGCCAGAC
rnacentral:rRNA from 3 species